CGGCCUAGGAUCGGUGAGGCCUAGGAUCGGAGCAGCCUGCAAACUGAAGAGCUCUUCUCUCCCCGCCUCUCACCUGAUCGGCGGGUAGGUGGGGCUUCCAGAGAGGCCUCCAAGUUGGCCUCCCUGAAGCUUGAACUCAGCAGGCCCCAGCAAGCCAGGAAGGAGGCUGGCAGAGCUCCCUGCAGCAGACCAGACCAUCCAGCACAGCUUUUGCAGUUUAUCUAAGAUGUCCUUGCUGGAUGGAUACCGGUUGUACUUGCCUUAGAGAGUUCCACAAUGAGGUCAUAAACUUCCUGGCCAGCUUCACAGUGCUUAGCAUUUGCUCCCCCACAACCAUGGCCCUAUGUUAAUUGUGAAGGAAACUGUAAAGGACAAAAAGUAAAAGGUAUUUAGUGUGAAUGUUUUACUUUUUCCGUAACUCAGCUAUCAAAUUUAGUACAUAUGCCAAACGAAAAAGAUUAUUACGACAGCACAAAUGCUGCUAUUCUAUGAAUUUACUGAAGUGUGUGUGUGUGUAAGUAAUUAAACAGGGCUACAUUCUUUGGUGCAAUCUGUGAAGGGGAACUUCAUGCAUACUUCAAAGAUCAGCAAGAGCUUGCUCACAGAACCAGAGGCUGCCUUUUCCAUUUAAAAGUUCUCUGUUCUUACCAAGUGAGAACCCAAGGUAGGGCUUUCAUACCAAAACUUCUUCCUUUUGAAAAAAUAAAUAUAUAUAUUAAUCUUGUGCAUUUAACAGCAGCAAUAAUAUACUGAACAUCACAUACAUGUACUCUUUUAGCCUUAAAAGCCAUCUUCUGAAGGAGAAAAAUGAGGUGUGACUAUCCUAAAUAAAUAAGAACACAUGAAUAGCAUAGUACUAAUGUCUCAUUGAAGCCACAGCCAUUUUGCAUGCUUUAUUAUUUUCUCAUUAAUCUCUAUAUUAGAUGGAUAAUACAUCUCAGCUACUUGAAAUACUGUUCUACAUUUAUGACACCGCCUAGAGAUGUACAUAUCAGGUGGUAUAGAAAUAUGAUAAAUAAAUAAAUGCACAUGAACUUAUGCACAUUUCCCUGAAUGCUGUUUCUUUGUGACCAUCAGUGUCAAUCAGGUCACAGUCUUCUAUCUGCCUAAGCUGGUAUAGUGCAAUGGCCAAGUGUGUCCCUCCCUGGUUCAAAUCUUGCCUCAGCUAUGAACUCUAGUAACCUUAGGCAACCCAUGGCAGCUUUCCUUCACUUGCACAUCUUACAUUCAUUUGCCUGAAACCUACAAUGACAUGUGCUCUGAUGAGAUCUGGCAAUGAGAAAAUGAUCGCAGAACUGGAAUUCCCAUCUCCAUUCGGCAAAAUUCCCAAGAAUUCUAGACAGACACUUGAUUCCAAAAUUACUUAUUUUGUCUUUGUCAAAAAACCAGCAAGACAGAAAGAAGAUUUAGUUAAAAUAGAGGAUUUAGAUCCAACCAAGUGGUGAUGAUGAGUCAGUAAUAGUUUCCUGUGUCAGAUGGUUACAGGUUAUUCAAAGCGACUCACAAUAUAAAACCAACACAAACACAGUUGCUCGCAGACUGAUCGGCAGAAAAAGUGAACUGUUUGGCGAAACUGAUUUAUAAGCCUUCUAAAUAGCAAAAGUGACAGCAUCCUAGGAUAUCUUCAAGACUAACACUUUUAUUAUAAUAUAAGCUUUCAUGAGCUGGAAGCUAAUCAUUAAAUGCAUCUAAGUAGUGGCUUCUUGUAUUCUGCGCAGCGCCUAGCAGUCAGUUGCUGUGCUUAGUCAAUAUUCCGGAGAGGAGAGCUGGUCUUGUGGUAGCAAGCAUGACUUGUCCCCUUAGCUAAGCAGGGUCUGCCCUGGUUGCAUAUGAAUGGGAGACCUGAUGUGUGAGCACUGCAAGAUAUUCCCUUCAGGGGAUGAAGCCGCUCUGGGAAGAGCAGAAGGUUUCAAGUUCCCUCCCUGGCUUCUCCAAGAUAGGGCUGAGAGAGAUUCCUGCCUGCAACCUUGGAGAAGCUGCUGCCAGUCUGUGAAAACAAUACUGAGCUAGAUAGACCAAUGGUCUGACUUAGUAUAUGGCAGUUUCCUAAUAUUAAGCAUAUUAAGCACAUUGAUUAUGUUGGGCGGGCAGGCUUUAAACAUGCACGCCUCCAUCCUGUUUGUAAAGACGUUUGAUUCACAUGACCUGGGUUUGCAUCUUUCAGGACAUUCUGGAGAAAAGUAAAGCCUUUUACAAACCUAAUCUGACCCCCUUUCCACCCAUGUAGGUGGGGCCAAGCCUGUCUCCAUGCACAUUAAGGGGGCCAACUCACUUGUGUUUAGAGUAGCUUCCUUAGGAGGUUCCGGGAACUGCAGAGUAGGGCAGAGCAGUGCAGAGCUCGGCAUCGGGGGUACUUCCGCAGAAACAGGCCUCCAUCGGUGCCGCUGAAAGCAGAACUCUGCCGCCAUCACGCUGUGCCCAGUACUGCUGUUCCGUGCGGCGGGAUCGCUCGGCUUCUGGUGACUGCUGCAUCAGCGGCACGGAUUACGGCUGCAGAUCCAUUUCGAAGGCUCCACAUUGGAGCGAAGAACCCAGAACAUGCAAGAGUUCCGAAGCACUGUGCUACCCAAGCCCAAGUGAGCGCGACCAAGCCUCAGCAAGGGUGUAUGGGAGGAAAAACUACACAGUGCCCCCAGUGGCCACGACAUGCUACAAUGGAGCGUUAUUAAGUGGUGAGGAAUACCAAAUCUCAUUUCUCAUCCCUGCCGUUACAUGUGUGGAACUACCAAGUAGUUUGCAAAUCCGGAAAAGUGACGGCUGACCUGACCAUUCUGGAUGUCCUGGCAGAAAAGCAUACUACAUAACCCUAGCUGUACUGCAGGGGUGCCCAACUCAAAUGCCCUGGUAGGCCAGAACCAACCACGUCUUGGUAUGCGGGGGCUGAAGUCAAUUUUCGGUGCAUUAGUUAUUACAAUUUACAUUAAACUUAAUUUAACAAUAUUAAUGAAAGUAAUUAUCUGCUACUUAUGGAUACCUCCCCCCGUGUCUAGGGAUCCACAGUUUUAAUCAAGGCUAGUGGCCAGAAAAUAGGCCCUGGCUGGCCCCCCGUCAGUGGGGCACCUUGAGUGAACGCCAACCUUAAACAAAUGCCAAAUCCUUUCCUGUCCCUAAAUUACUGUUGUUUUCAAUCUGUAAUCCUAGGCAUAUUUACUUGGGAGUAAACCUACUGGGUACACCAUGGGAUAUAUUUUCAAGUAAAUGUGCAUGGGAUGGUAUGGUAAGGCAGUUUCCGGAGAGGAUCUCCCCCCUCGGAGAAGACGGAACUAAUCAAGAAGAGUUGAUGUGUUUAGAAAACCAAAGAAACUCCAUUUUGCCUAGAAAAGCUAAUUUUUAACUUAAAGUAACCUAGCCCGUCUCAGGGACAUCACUGCCUCUCAUGAUUAACGUCAUUAUCUCUCUGUAGCAAAAUUGUAUCUAUGAAACUUGUUAACAUAGUCAAGGUUCUCACUGUUUUUCGCUGACAGUUAAGAAAACAGGAUCUAACCAAAUAAGGAGUAAUCACUCAAUGGACAAUGAAUCAUUCACGUGCGUACUAGAUACUUGGGCCAUGUAUACUGUGUCUAGGGUGUCAGCACCAUUUAGAUUGUUUGUAUAAAUGUAAGAUGCACCUGUAACCAAACUGUAAUCGGUUUGAGAGCGUGAACCUAUUGAUUACCUAUUGCUGACUGUAGAGCAAUAAACCUCAAUUAAUAAUUCCCAAUCCUUGUGUCUUACUGAUUGGUUAAGCGGACCCAGAAACGAGCCCCAUCCACAUCAGAGUGACCCUCAGCCUUUCUGAUAUGUGUUCUGCCUGUGGCUGCCUGAUGCUGCUGCCACCGUUCCAUCUCACACCAUUCACUGCUGUUGCGGAGUCACUCAUUGCGUUGGUCCACCACUGCCACAUGCACCUCAUCUGGUCUCAAAGGCCGGCUGCGCUGAGCUGCUGCUGCUGCUUGUCACCGGACAAGCCAAGCACUCUUCAUGGCUCCUGCUGUUGCUGCAGCAUAUUCCUACCUGGGAGACAAACAAAAAGUCCCUGCGGGCUGCAGCCAGCCUCUGGGGCUUCUGUUUUGCAGACUUGCUCUAGUAUCUCCCAAGGUCAGACUAUUUUUCAUCAUCCUCAUCACCACCAAUUGGAUAACAUGCAGUGGAGAUUGCAAGCCGCCCCCUUUUCCUCCUUGAAAUCCAGCAUCAGCUCUGUCAUAUCAAUUAUGACAGCUUCUUGCCCUCACACAGCUAUCCCAAAGUAUAUUUCGACCACUGGUUUUAGAAGAAAAUAAAAUAAUUGUCUGCAUUUGAGUAUUUAAGGCUGAAAUCUAUGUACAAUUACUUGAGAAUGGAUCCCAUUAGACACAGUGACUUGCUUCUGAGUAAACAUGUAUAUGACUGGGGAGUUAUAUUUCAGAAUGUUUGUGGACUAUGCCUACAGAUCCCCUUUCUCUCUUCAAACACUAAGCACCAUUAAUG